GAUGAACGCUGGCGGCGUGCCUAAUACAUGCAAGUCGAGCGAACGGACGAGAAGCUUGCUUCUCUGAUGUUAGCGGCGGACGGGUGAGUAACACGUGGAUACCCUACUUAUAAGACUGGGAUAACUUCGGGAAACCGGAGCUAAUACCGGAUAAUAUUUUGAACCGCAUGGUUCAAAAGUGAAAGACGGUCUUGCUGUCACUUAUAGAUGGAUCCGCGCUGCAUUAGCUAGUUGGUAAGGUAACGGCUUACCAAGGCAACGAUGCAUAGCCGACCUGAGAGGGUGAUCGGCCACACUGGAACUGAGACACGGUCCAGACUCCUACGGGAGGCAGCAGUAGGGAAUCUUCCGCAAUGGGCGAAAGCCUGACGGAGCAACGCCGCGUGAGUGAUGAAGGUCUUCGGAUCGUAAAACUCUGUUAUUAGGGAAGAACAUAUGUGUAAGUAACUGUGCACAUCUUGACGGUACCUAAUCAGAAAGCCACGGCUAACUACGUG
rnacentral:rRNA from 1 species